UGUGUAGGCGGUUUUGUAAGUUUGGUGUGAAAUCUCCCGGCUUAACUGGGAGGGUGCGCCGAAAACUGCAAGGCUUGAGUGCUGGAGAGGAGAGCGGAAUUCCUGGUGUAGCGGUGAAAUGCGUAGAUAUCAGGAGGAACACCGGCGGUGUAGACGGCUCUCUGGACAGUAACUGACGCUGAGACACGAAAGCGUGGGGAGCAAACAGGAUUAGAUACCCUGGUAGUCCACGCCCUAAACGAUGCAUACUUGGUGUGAGCCAUUCAUUUGGUUCGUGCCGGAGCUAACGCGUUAAGUAUGCCGCCUGGGGAGUACGGUCGCAAGGCUGAA
rnacentral:rRNA from 1 species